UACCCUGCAACGGCGACUGCAACGCCGUUAUAAAGGCCAACCCGAUCCCUUGCCCGUCGACCUGCAGCGCUCCCAACGCUAGCCCUUUGUGCAAGAGGUACGCCCCGCCGGUGGGCUGCGAAUGCAAGCCAGGCUAUCUCCUCAAUGAUAAAGACAAGUGUAUUACACCUGAUCAAUGUCCAGGUGGCAACCCUUGUGGGAAAAACGCACAUUUUGGUCCGUGCUCCUUCGACUGCCCGAGCAAUACCUGCCCAGUACGCGACAGUAAAGGAGUCGUUGCCUGCAGCCCGCCGUACCCGUGCCCCAGCGGCUGCAUAUGCAAAAAGGGUUAUAAGAGAAAGAGCAGUUCUGAUUACACGUGUAUUUUGGCUUUGGAUUGUCCUCCACCGAUAAAAUGCAAAGAAAACGAAGUUUACAACCCGUGUAGUUUCAUUUGUCCUCCUCAAACAUGUGCCUCCCUCUACACGGACUACGAUUGCCGUGGCGCGACGAAGUGCGUGCCCGGGUGCGACUGCAUCCCCGAGUACUUGAGGAACG